GGGAGUACUCAAUUCAGCCUCACAUACACCGAUAUUGGAACAAUACAGAGAUUAGUGUGCCCCCUGCACAAGGAUGACACACAAAUUCAUGAAGCAUUCCAUAUUUUU